rnacentral:lncRNA from 1 species
AUGGCCAAAAAGCAAGUUGGGGAGGAAAGGGUGUAUUUGUCUUACACAUCACUAAUGUUCAUCAAAGGAAGCCAGAACAGGAUCUCAAACAGGGUAGGAACCUGGAAGCAGGAGCAGAACAUGGAGGGGUGCUGCUUACCGCCUUGGCUUGCUCAGCCUGCUUUCUUAUAAAAUCUGAAGCACCUCUCACAAUUGACUGGGCCUUCACCAUCACUAAGUAAGAAAAGGCUUCACGGCUAGAUCUUAUGGAGACAUUUUCUCAACUAAGAUUUCAAAUGGCUCUAGUUUCUGUUGGCAUAAGACAAGCAUAAGCUAGCACAGUGAGCAAAUGUGAGGACCAGAGUUCUGAUCCUCAAAACCAAUGAGAGAGAGAGAGAGAGAAAGAGAGAGAGAGAGAGAGAGAGAGAGAGAGAGAGAGAGAGAGAGAGAGAGAGAGAGGUCAAACCAGGAAUGAUGGCAUGUGCCUAUAGUCCCACCCCUGGGGAGGUGGAGACAGGCAUUCAAUGCCCGAGCUAGCCUAAGUCUUCAGGGUUAGGUUCAGGCCAGUGGGAGACUUUGUCUCAAAACACCAAGGUUGCUAACUACUGAGCAAGCCAUGACACAGAGGCUGACCUGGCCUCUGCUGCACACAGGCAAAAUGUCCAGGUUUCACCUGAAGUUCAAUCAUCAUGCUAACAAUCAGGAGUAUCUCAAAAUAAAUGAAAAGUCACCACUGAGAGAUGCUGGCACAAAGGUAGGGAUUAUCGAACAAUUUAAAGGAAGUAAACAUGAAACUAUUCCAAUGAUCAAUUAAAACCUUGUCUACAAGGAAAAAAAAAUAGUCUCACUACAGACACUCUCAGUAAAUGCAUAUGAAACAAAGUGACAAUUUUACAACCUAAAACCAUAAUAAUUGAACUAAAAUUCAGGUGAGAGUAGAACCACAGAAUGGGAGCUGGAGGUAUGGCUUCAUAGCUGAGCUCAUGCUUAGCUUGCAGAAGCCCUAGGUUCCAUUGUACAGAGAGAGGCGGGAAAGGGAAACCACUCACAGCUAGUAGGUAGGUUCAUUAACUUCUCAAUGUAUAAAAUAAAUACAUGAAAAGCAAUUCCCCCAUGCUAGUUGUAACAGCCGAAAUGAACGCCACAGUGCCAUUUCAAUCACUUUUAAAAGAUGAAAACAAGAAAGCCUUAGGCAUACAUCUUACCAAUGUGCAGGACUUGAACGCUGGAAACUAAAAGAUUCUGAGAAAAUACUUAAGACCUAGAAGUAAAUAAGCAAACCAUGUUCACUGAGCAGAACAAACCAGAGCAUCCUAGAGAUGUGCAAACUAAUACGCAGGUUUAAUCCACCUCUUUCUAACUGCCAGCAACUUUUUUUCUUGUACAUGUAAACAAGAUUUAUUCUAUAUUGAUUAUCAGAAGAAGAAAGGUUGAAGGAGAUAGAAGGCUUUAAACAAUUUUGAGGACGAAAACUGAGCUGAAUCAUCAAUCAGUCUACCCGCGUCUAAGAUUGAUGGCACUACUGUGUGGUACCGGGGACAAGCAGACCCCUGCAUCGAUGGAACAGAGAAUCCAGAAGCAGCUCUACACAAAUAUACCUACUGGGUGUUCCACAACAGCACAAACCAUUUCAAAGAAGAAACAUGAGAUAAACUUGUCUGCUGGGGAUACGUUAUCCGCAGGGAGAAACACCUCCAUCAGCAGAUUUGACACAUACAGAAAGAUGAACUCAAAUGGAUCACAAACAAAGACUACAUGAAAUGGCAGAAAUGUACAAUGUUUAGGGGAAAAAAACAGAAAAAAAAAACGAUAUAAGGCAUUGUUUCUUAGACUUUGGUGCUAGAUGCAUGUUAAUUAAGACACAAAGCCUUGAUAAAUAAGACUUCAUCAAAAAAAAUUUUCAGAAAGAUCCCAUAAAGAGAAUGAAAAUCAGAGUACAUAUUUACAGUCCAUAUGUCUGACAAAGUGCUGGUAUCCCCAAAAGAUAGCUCAAGACUGAACAAGAAACAAAUACAUGAGUCUGGAGAGCUAUUCCACCCGUGGUCUUGGGAACCUUCUGAAUUGUGUGAAUCAUGACCAUAUGACUGUCAGAAUUCAGCUUAUAAUUUUGAACUAUAAAUUUCCAAGAAGUUGCCUUUGUGGCAAACUACAAGAAAGGGUUUAGGGGAUUUCUUUGUAACUUAUCAAUAAGCGAAGUAUUUUGACGUAGGUCAUACUAGUCUCAAAUUCACUAUAAAGCCAAGGCUUGCUUCUAACUCUUGAACUCCUGCCUCUACCGCCCAAGUACUGAGUGAGAUUACAGGUAUGUGCCAUGGUAUCCAACCUCAAAACAAAAUGUUUUGUUUUGUUUUUAUUUAAAAAUACUGAUUUAAUUUUUAAACUCUCAAUGCUUACAAACAAAACAACGUCUGAUAGAAACAGGAAGCAGCUAACAACUGUGUAGCCUGUACCUUCCACUGAGAGAAUGCUAAGUUAUGUUAUCAAGCCCAAUGGAGCCAAUAUAUUAUUUCAACAUGGAAUCUAUAAGAAAAUUAUGAAUGAGUUCCUUACCCCUUUGGUUAGCUCAGAAGCUAUAGCACAGGCUGGGUGGAUCAAGCAGUGGACAUUUGUUUCUCACAGCUGAGAAGAAAGUCCAAGACCAAGGCCUUGACAGUUUCAGUCCACUGAGAAUCCCCUUGCCUGGCUGCAGAGGCAGGCUUCUUGCAAUAUCUAUCUAGUCUUCUUUUCUUCCCACAGGACACUGGAAGCCUUGCAGAGGACCACCUCCUGAUUCCUCCUCAUCAGUAUUAGGAGGUUUGACGUGGCUCAACAUGAAAUUCAUAGCUGCUUCUCUUUUCCUUUCAAAAUCUUUGCAGCACACGUGGCUGGCAGCCACACGGUGCGAAGCACAGUUUAAGAUGAACAUGUUCUAGAAACGCUUUGGCUAAGCAUCUCCUCUCCUAUCGUCCCACAAUAACUAGAUGAUACAGGUAGGUGAUGGGAUGCCCAUGGUGACUCUGUCCUUGCUAUCAUGACCUGAAAUGGGAAAGAGGAAGGGAGUGGGGCAACUUCUCAGUUCUCCCUAAGAACGGUGUCGUCUUCUUGAAUUUUCCAAAUGCCCACUUGUGAGAAAGGAGGCUGUCAUGGAAAGACUCAAUACUGGGAAAUUAUUACCUGGGAAAUGCAGAAGAAACCACUUUAAUCUACCCUGAAACGACAUGAAAUGGAUCUUCAUUACUGGUCAAAGCUGUUCUUCAUUUCCUCCCACUAAACCACUGUCUAGGGAAGCAAGCCACUUGCUGAGGAUUUUCCACCUCUGUCUCAAGAGAGGUCUUGCCUUUUGCAGUAGUGGCUUCCCCUGAACGGCGGUGCCUUCCCCUGAACGGCGGUGCCUUCCCCUGAACGGCGGUGCCUUGGCAACCACAGCUGGAGAUUUGCUCAAAUGUCUUUCCCUGGCAGGCAGGUAAAUGCCAUCCAUAUCCCAUCAUAGACAGGAGCUUUCCUUGAGUCACAGUUGCCGGGCUGUAUCAGCAGGAAAGUUACUCAGAAGCUGAAACAAAGGAUGCACAAAAGUGCCCAUUUUGAGCCAGGGCUACAUCAGGCUCUAGUUUCAGCUGAUAAGGAGCAUAAAGGAGCAGCCGUGCUGUGACUCCGUUUCCUAAAGCAUCGGUCUCACAGGUAAUGCAAUGACCUGCUGGUAAAGGGCUUCCUCAAAUGUCUCUUUGCUGUGGUCAAGGCAAGUUUAUAUCAGGUCGGUGCCCCCUGGACAUUUGUUGCAAAGGGAGUCCUUUUGGAAACUCUUAGAAGGCAGGGUGACCACGUGUGAGGGCAGAGAAGACUUCAGAGCACAGCUUCCAGAUUUGAUCCCAGUGUGUGACCUGGAACAAAUUAUUGUCUCUCUGCCUCAAGUUUUAUGGUGCAUCAAAUGGGGAGAUCAGCACUUGCCGUGUAGGACUGUCCUCAACAUUAGCAUUACAUGCCAGAACUGUGUGCUUUUGACAGAGUCACCAAUCUCUUGUUUCCACCUCUAUGGUCAGUGUUUGGUUUCUCUUAUUGUCAUUCAAACUGGUUUAAACUGGCAAUUCCCUGCUUUCUCUCUCUCUCUCUCUCUCUCUCUCUCUCUCUCUCUCUCUCUCUCUCUCUCUCUCUCUCUCUCUCUCUCUCUCUGCUUUUGUAUCAGAUGCAGUACCCUGGAAGUUUGGGAGCAGGCAGAAGCAGACAUCAUCUAGCUAAUGGACUUCUGGGGACAGAUCCAAAAUGGACAUCUGAAGACAAAGCCAGCCUUUUCUCCAAGUUAGCAUGAAGUGGAGGCAUGGAAAGCAGAGAGAAGCCAGUGCUUGAAUGGCCCAUGCAGCCAUAGCCCAUUUUCCCUACAGCUUCCCGGGCAGCCCAAAUAUCCUGAGCAUGCUCAGAAGAGACAAGCUUGACCACUAUGCCAUCGUCCAUUACUACGGAGUCAGCCAUGAAGACUAUAGAAGGUAUCACCUGUGUGUUCAUGACGGACACUGAAGCCAAUGCGCACCAAAUCAGACAGGCUGGAGAGGAGCUCUGUAAUAUAAAUGUGACCAUUUAUAGGCCCCACUCAGGCCUAAGGGAUAGAAGUCACAGGUUCAUCUGGCUCCUGGUUAUAAUGAUUCAAAUGUUACUGACAAAAUUGGGGUCAUCUCUACGUAGUCUAACUAAUUCCAAAUUCAAAUAUUUUUUCAACAUUUACAAAAUAAAAUAAAAUAAGACAAAGCCCAAUUCUUUGUGCUAUUUUAUUUAAGUGACUUUUCACUGUGAAGGACUAGCUAGAGAAGGUGAAUUCAGUUGUGACUCAAACAGACAGACCCUGUUGUGACCCGCUGGGAGGAAAGGGACAGAGCCAAAGCUUCCUUUCGGCAAUGAAUGCCCCUGCUCCUUCCUUGGCACGUCUUGGAUCUUGGCUAGUCAGGUACUUGCUAACAUGGCUUGGGAUGAGUCUUAUAAAAUCCCCUUGUCUUUAAUACUGGUGAAGCUUAUAACUUGCCUCUAAUUGAAUAUGGCAAAGUUAGCAGGAUGCUGGCCCUACAAUUGUGCAGCUUCCUUGCUGCCUUUGAGGUUAUGAUUGCAGC